UACAGAGGUCCCGAGCGUUGUUCGGAUUCAUUGGGCGUAAAGGGUGCGUAGGCGGCGGGGCCAGUCUGAUGUGAAAUCCCGGGGCUCAACCCCGGAACUGCAUUGGAUACUGCCUUGCUAGAGUACUGGAGAGGGAACUGGAAUUUACGGUGUAGCAGUGAAAUGCGUAGAGAUCGUAAGGAAGGCCAGUGGCGAAGGCGAGUUCCUGGACAGUGACUGACGCUGAGGCACGAAGGCCAGGGGAGCAAACAGG
rnacentral:rRNA from 1 species